UCUACACUAAGUAUGAUGCUCUAAUGAUAUCUCUAUUGUAUUUCUAUUUGCAUCAGCUUAAAGCUUCACUAGAAUAGAAAAAAUAGAAGCAUUCUACAUACUGCAAGUCUAAGAGCCUAGUGGAAAAUAGUCUAAUUGUUGCAGUGCUCCUUGCCAGCUCUUGAUUGUCCUCCCUCUGGUUUGCAACUGCUACUUUGUUCCCGUAGUACAUGUUAAUUACAUUUUGGCCACCUGCAGCUUGUGGCCAGCAUACUCUGUCUCAAGCAACUAGUGCUUUCUUGGUGAUAGUUAAUGUGCCAGACCAUAAAAAUGAUCUACACAUGAUUUCAAUCAUCUUCAAUAUCUUCUUAGGCAGCAGAAAGAUUUGAGCUCAGUAUGAUUGUACCCCAAACAAGACUGAUUUAAUUAACUGGAGCCACCAGCAUAUGAAAGCAAUUUGGAUGUCCAACAGUUGAUCUUCUAUGUAAUCUUCUCUAUUAAUGGCCAUCAUUGGAUAAUAGACAGCUUCUUGGAUGCUAGUGGUACACCUAGGUAUCUAAAUGUCAUAGUACCUUCAGUGUAUCCCAACUCUUACAUAAUGUCUUGCUUUGUGCUAUCUGAGAUACCUGCUAGGUAGAUGGAACUUUUUUCUGCAUUGGCCUGGAGGCAGAUGAGGUAGAGAACUUGAGGAAUGUCUGUUGCAAUAGUUUGAUGGAUGUAAUGUCAGAUUUAUAGAACAUCAACAGGUCAUCCGCAAAACAAAUGUGAAUUGCUCCCAGUUUCUUACAUCUAGGAUGGAAUUUAAAGUUCCUAUUCUUUGCCAGCGGUGUCAGUUCCCUCUAUAGAUACUCCAUGGCUAUGACAAAUAAAUAAGGGUACAUAGGGUCCCCUUGUCGAAUGCCUUUUCUUCCUUGAAAUGGUUUUGUCAGUCCUCCAUUCAUGUUGAGGGAGUAGGUCACUGUGGUGAUGCAUUCCAUUAUCCAACUGACAAAUCUAUAAGAAAAUCCAAGCUCUAGUACCAUUUUUUCAAGGAAACUCCAAUCUAAAGUAUCAUAAGCUUUCAUGAAGUCUACUUUUAAAACACAUCUUAGGGAGAUCCCUUUUCAGUUACAUCCUUUGAAUAACUCAUGAGUAAACAAGAUGUUAUCUGCAAUGCUUCUUCCUUCAAUAAAGGAUGAUUGUGACUUCCCAAUGAGAUCUCCUAUUAUACUCUUUAUUCUGUUGGUGAUUACUCUGGUUAUUAUCUUGUAUAGAGUGGUGCAACAAGCUAUAGGUCUGAAUUCAUUUACUUGGCUGGGAUUUGGCACUUUUGGAAUAAUAGUGACUGUUGUACAAUUCAUUCUUCUAUGCAUUUUGCCUGUUUCAAAGAAUUCCUUGACUGCAGCACAUACUUCAAACCCAAGUAUAGUCCAUUGUGUUGUGAAGAACUCAAUUGGAAAAUUAUCUACCCCUGGGGCUUUGUCAUGAGGCAUAUCUUUUAUAGCAGUUAGGAUCUCCUCAUUAGUUACAUUCUUAAUCAGUGCCUCCUUAUAUUGUUGGUCAAGGCAUCUCCCUUGUCUAACCACUGCGGCAUCUAGACAUUUAUGAGUUUCUCCACUUUCUCCCAUAAGGUUGGCGAAGAAAGAGAUAAACUCCUCUUCUAUUUGGACUGGAUCUAUUAGCUUAAUACCACUUGCAUUGUAUAUGGAUGCAAUGUGGUUUCUGCUUGUCCUCAUUUUUUAUUGAGCAUGGAAGUAUUUUGUAUUUGAGUCACCACAUUCAAUCCAAGUGGCCCUUGACUUAUGCUGUAAUACCUGUUCUUCUAUAUGACUCUAUUUUUCCAUUUCUGUCAAGAUUUCUUUUUCCUGAUUGAACAAGCUCUGUUCUAGAGGAAAAUUCUUGAGUUCCCCCUGUACUAUCUCUCGUUUCUGUCUAGCCUGAUCAAGUCUCUGCUGAUAGAAAACCAUAUAUUUGUUCAGGUCUUUAAGUCCAUUUUAGAGUUCUUCAAUUUCUUCCAGAUUUUGUUCAUGGGUUCUUCUUGAGUUCCUUGAUGUCAUACUUCUUGCACUAUGCUCCUGAACUCUGGAUGCUCCAUGUCAUUUUUGUAAAGUUUGAAAGGCUUAGGGUGCAGUCCUUUCUUAUGUUGACUGAUAUGAGGAUUGGGGAGUGAUCAGACACUACUGGAUCCAUGAACUCAGCUUCUAUGUGGCUAUAUUGUUGCAGCCACACAUAGUUUCUGAUUGCCCAAUCUAUCUUGCUAUACACCCUUUUAUCUUCAUGUUGUUUGUUGCACCAUGUAAAGAACCAGCCAAAAUUAAAAUUCUUUUCUAUGUGUAUAUCUAUAUAUAAAUUCUAUUAAAAAAUUCUAGGCCUCAAUAAUGUGGCUUCAGGCCACGAAUUUUAUUGAGACGCUAUUGCUGAGCUCAUUGUAAUUUUAUAAUUAUGAGUUUAAAUAGUAAAAAAUAUUUAUUGAAACUUAGUGCCAAGAUAUUUUUUGUCUC